rnacentral:rRNA from 1 species
AACGAUGCCAACUAGCGAUCCGCCGGUGGAUUUUUAGCCCUGGUGGGUAGCUUCCCGGAAACGAAAGUCUUCCGGUUCCGGGGGAAGUAUGGUUGCAAAGCUGAAACUUAAAGGAAUUGACGGAAGGGCACCACCAGGAGUGGAGCCUGCGGCUUAAUUUGACUCAACACGGGGAAACUCACCCGGCCCGGACACCGUAAGGAUUGACAGAUUGAUAGCUCUUUCAUGAUUCGGUGGUUGGUGGUGCAUGGCCGUUCUUAGUUCGUGGAUCGAUUUGUCUGGUUUAUUCCGAUAACGAGCGAGACUCUAGCCUACUAAAUAGUAACGAGAUUAUCAAUGUCUCAGUUGCUUCUUAGAGGGAUUUUCGGUGUUUAGCCGCACGAGAUUGAGCAAUAACAGGUCUGUGAUGCCCUUAGAUGUCCGGGGCUGCACGCGCGCUACACUGGCGAAAUCAGCGUGCUGUAUCCAUUCUCGAAAGGGAUUGGUAAACCCAUGAAAAUUUGCCGUGCUUGGGAUCGGAAAUUGCAAUUAUUUUCCGUGAACGAGGAAUUCCAAGUAAGUGCGAGUCAUCAACUCGCUCUGAUUACGUCCCUG